AGUGAACGCUGGCGGUAGGCCUAACACAUGCCAGUCGAACGGCAGCACAGUAAGAGCUUGCUCUUACGGGUGGCGAGUGGCGGACGGGUGAGGAAUACAUCGGAAUCUACUUUUUCGUGGGGGAUAACGUAGGGAAACUUACGCUAAUACCGCAUACGACCUACGGGUGAAAGCAGGGGAUCUUCGGACCUUGCGCGAUUGCAUGAGCCGAUGUCGGAUUAGCUAGUUGGCGGGGUAAAGGCCCACCAAGGCGACGAUCCGUAGCUGGUCUGAGAGGAUGAACAGCCACACUGGAACUGAGACACGGUACAGACUCCUAGGGGAGGCAGCAGUGGGGAAUAUUGGAAAAUGGGCGCAAGACUGAUCCAGCCAUACCGCGUGGGUGAAGAAGGCCUUCGGGUUGUAAAGCCCUUUUGUUGGGAAAGAAAAGCAGCAGGUUAAUACCCCGCUGUUCUGACGGUACCCAAAGAAUAAGCACCGGCUAACUUCGUG
rnacentral:rRNA from 1 species